CCUACGGGAGGCAGCAGUGGGGGAUAUUGCACAAUGGGGGAAACCCUGAUGCAGCGACGCCGCGUGGGUGAAGAAGCGCCUCGGCGCGUAAAGCCCUGUCAGCCGGGAAGAAAAUGACGGUACCUGAAGAAGAAGCCCCGGCUAACUACGUGCCAGCAGCCGCGGUAAUACGUAGGGGGCAAGCGUUAUCCGGAUUUACUGGGUGUAAAGGGGGAGCAGACGGCGAUGCAAGCCAGGAGUGAAAGCCCGGGGCCCAACCCCGGGACUGCUCUUGGAACUGGGUGGCUAGAGUGCAGGAGGGGCAGGCGGAAUUCCGGGUGUAGCGGUGAAAUGCGUAGAUAUGAGGAGGAACACCGGUGGCGAAGGCGGCCUGCUGGACUGCAACUGACGUUGAGGCCCGAAAGCGUGGGGAGCAAACAGGAUUAGAUACCCUUGUAGUC
rnacentral:rRNA from 1 species